rnacentral:piRNA from 1 species
GCCUUGCGGGACUCCGGCUGUGACGUG